rnacentral:rRNA from 1 species
UGGGGAAUAUUGGGCAAUGGGAGGAAUCCUGACCCAGCGACGCCGCGUGAACGAUGAAGGCCUUAGGGUUGUAAAGUUCUUUUAUGUGGGAAGAAGGAAGUGACGGUACCACAUGAAUAAGCCCCGGCUAACUACGUGCCAGCAGCCGCGGUAAUACGUAGGGGGCGAGCGUUGUCCGGAAUUACUGGGCGUAAAGGGCACGCAGGCUGUGAUUCAAGUCAGCUGUAAAAGGAUGCGGCUUAACCGUGUUUAGCAGUUGAAACUGGAUGACUGGAGUGCUGGAGAGGCAAGUGGAAUUCCCAGUGUAGCGGUGAAAUGCGUAGAUAUUGGGAAGAACAUCGGUGGCGAAGGCGACUUGCUGGCCAGUAACUGACGCUGAGGUGCGAAAGCCAGGGUAGCAAACG